ensembl:snoRNA
AUCCUUUUCCAGUUCAUAAGCGUGAUGAUUGGGUUCUCACGCGCUUGCGUGACAUGUGCCUCCCUCUAAACCUUGUUAUGACGUGGGCACAUUACCCUUCUGACG